rnacentral:rRNA from 1 species
CGUGAGCAAUCUGCCCAUAUCUGGGGGAUAACAGUUGGAAACGACUGAUAAUACCGCAUAACAUGGUUUGAAGGCAUCUUCUUUCCAUCAAAGAUUUAUCGGAUAUGGAUGAGCUCGCGUCUGAUUAGCUUGUUGGUGAGGUAACGGCUCACCAAGGCGACGAUCAGUAGCCGACCUGAGAGGGUGGACGGCCACAUUGGGACUGAGACACGGCCCAAACUCCUACGGGAGGCAGCAG